ACCUCCCACCCGUGUCUAUCGUACCUUGUUGCUUCGGCGGGCCCGCCGUUUCGACGGCCGCCGGGGAGGCCUUGCGCCCCCGGGCCCGCGCCCGCCGAAGACCCCAACAUGAACGCUGUUCUGAAAGUAUGCAGUCUGAGUUGAUUAUCGUAAUCAGUUAAAACUUUCAACAACGGAUCUCUUGGUUCCGGCAUCGAUGAAGAACGCAGCGAAAUGCGAUAAGUAAUGUGAAUUGCAGAAUUCAGUGAAUCAUCGAGUCUUUGAACGCACAUUGCGCCCCCUGGUAUUCCGGGGGGCAUGCCUGUCCGAGCGUCAUUGCUGCCCUCAAGCACGGCUUGUGUGUUGGGCCCCCGUCCCCCUCUCCCGGGGGACGGGCCCGAAAGGCAGCGGCGGCACCGCGUCCGGUCCUCGAGCGUAUGGGGCUUUGUCACCUGCUCUGUAGGCCCGGCCGGCGCCAGCCGACACCCAACUUUAUUUUUCUAAGGUUGACCUCGGAUCAGGUAGGGAUACCCGCUGAACUUAAGCAUAUCAUAAGCGGAGGAA
rnacentral:rRNA from 1 species